UCCAUGGUGGCUCAGAUGUUAAAGCAUCUGCCUGCAAUGCAGGAGACCUGGGUUCAAUUCCUGGGUCAGGAA
rnacentral:tRNA from 1 species